rnacentral:sRNA from 1 species
CUUCGGUCAAGGGUGUAGGAGUAGCUGUGCUCCCCUGGUAGAACCUCCAAACAAGCUCUCAACAUCUAAUGGGGCUGAUAGAAUGAAUAGU